rnacentral:sRNA from 1 species
UAACGUGCACGCGCACUCGUGCGGCGCCCGCGAGCCCUCACUUCCUACAACCCGAGACCCUCCGGACCCGCGACCCCUUCUCCGCGCCCGGCUGGGCAGCGGGCAGCGCCGGGCCCCGAUGGGCUCUCGGCCCUCACUGCCCCUGCGCCUUGCGGCCCUGAGAACAAGACGUGAGCGGGACUGACAGCGCCCGGCACUCAUGUCUGAGUUUGCAUUUUGGAGCAGUGAGAAAUAAAGGUGACUAAUACAACAAUGUAGAGGACCCUGCAAUGUGGAGAGGCAUGAAACUGGAGGUCCAAUGGCGUGAGUUAACAACCAAGACGUCCAUACAGGAGAUGCAUUGGUGGAUGGGUGAAGAGAUGAGAAAACGAAAAGCCCAGAGGAGAAAUGAGGAUGCAAAGAGAAAGAAAAAUACCCCAACCAGAGAGCUGCAAGGAUAUCAGGAAGGGGGAGUAUCUGGGGACAGAGCGGAGCACGCUUUUCUGAACGCCUUACUCCGGGCUGGGGCUGCUUUCUGCAAGCCCGUGCGGUGCACGUGAGGAGGCUUUCCUUGCGGUGGUGAAAUCAAACACACCUAAGGCGUGAGUCCUCCAGACUUUCCUCACCUGGGCAGCUUGCCCCGGCCACCUGUGCCUCGCCCGGAGAAACUCCAACGUGCAGGGCGCUGAUGGACGAGAUAGAGCACGACAUCACCAAGGCUCGGCAGAAGAAGACUAAGGUGGGAUCCUUCCGAAUCAAUCCUGAUGGGACGCAGGAGAGGAGAAAGAUCCCCCUAGCCCAGUCGGAGGCGUUCCUAACGGACCUUUUGGAGAAAGUCUGUGAGCGAAUGAACGACUACAAGCUUGAGGAAGACCCUGUGACGAAGGAGAGAACUUUCAAGAGAUUUGCUCCUAGGAAAGGAGACAAAAUAUACCAAGAAUUUAAAAAAUUAUAUUUUUAUUCUGAUGCUUACAGACCUUUGAAAUUUGCGUGUGAAACUAUAAUAGAAGAGUAUGAAGAUGAAAUAUUCUCACUUAUCGCCCAGGAGGCACACUAUCUAGCUGACAAGCUGUGCAGUGAAAAAUCAGAUCUGUGUGAAACUUCUGCUAAUCAUACUGAGCUCUAGGAGUGCCGUGCUGCUGGUUGUAGAGAGGAGUAAAGUCACACCCAAAGGUGAAGCUGAGGAGUACAUGAAACUUAAAUUAACCUUUGCAGAUUUUGAUAAAUCAAGCUUGACAAUAAAGGAUUUAAUUCUUUAUUGAGGAAAAAAGUGAAGACAUUUCAUAAACAAAAUAGGGAUUUCAUAAUGUAUGCUGUUUAUUUUAUAACAGUGUAUGUGCACAUAUACAAAUGCAGUAGCUAUCUGAUAAGAACUGGAUUUGAAUUCUCAAAUACUUGAUUGCCUAUAAAUUUAAGGAAAUACAUGGCAACAAAUUCAAAAUGUGGUCUUCUGGGUGAGAUAUGGCUAUUGGUAAAAGAAACAAACCCACUUUUUAUCAGAAAUGAAAUUUAAAUUUUUAGAAACCACAAGUUUAAAAACCCAUCUGUAAAAUUUAGUGGAAUGUGUAAAAACUAAUGAAUGCUUUAAUUUAUAGUAAACAAUAAUUAUAUUGGCCCCUCAAACACCAUUCUGAGUUUAAGUGGUUUAGAAAGUUGAUUUAUUAUUGCAUCAUGUGUUAAAAGAUGACACUAGUAAUUGCAUUUUGUUUUGCUCCAAACUCUUCUGGUUUGUUUGUUUUUCUUCUAAAGGUUUUUUUGACUCACAUUUAGUGUGUUGAGUUUACUACUAAAUAAUCUACCAUUCUUCUACAGGAAUGGAAAGAGAGUUGGGACCUGGUGGGAAAUUAUCUUUUGGCCACACUUAAUAUACAAAGUCUAGUAACAAUCACUCCUGGAAAUUUCUUUAUCUCUGUUACAUUUGCAUUCAAUGGAAUCUGACUUCAAUGAUUAAAAAUGUCAGGGUAUAGUCUACACCAGUUUCUAAAAAGAGACUCUCAUUGUCUUUGGUGACAAUCAAGUGGGUAGGAUGCUACCAAUUCCCUCUGGAAGACCCAAAACUCUUUGCCAUAUUGUUACUUAGUUGCUUAAAAAGCACAUUAUGUGUUUAAAUCAUUCUCCUGACUCUUCAGCAGGAAACAAUUCUUAAAUUUAGGAAAAUUUACCAAAGCUAAGGGGAAGGGCUUUCCAUGCCCCCUCCCCACCUAAACUCUGAUUAAAAGUUAGUGAGUUAAUGUCACUUAAUUAACUUGGGUGCUUUUUUUUGGUCUUGUCUGUGGCUGCUUAAGUCUGAUGGCUCCUACAUAACCCAACGAACUCGCAUUCGAGCUGACACAGGAUGGAAAUAGAACUGAAUAAUAAUUAACACUAUUUUCUGGUAGGGUAGGACAAUUGUUAUUUAAAACAUAGUCCAUAUAGCUUUAUUUAAACGUAUCUAGUUAAGGUUAAUUUGGCAUUUAAAGUAGUAAAUCAGGAACAUUCUCCUAACUUGGAUUUUCUUGGGAAAUGCACUAAACAGGAAAAUUAUUCCUGAAAACCUAGUGACCUUCACAGGAACAUGGUGGGACCUGUGACAUUAAGUAAGCUUCAGUGAAAAAUGUUAACAGUUGUAAUUGUAGAAGUGUUGCCAAAUUUGUUUUCAUACUCUCAUUGAUCAUCAUUAAAAAUUCUCAAAUGUAGGCAAUGCUAACACUAAUUAUAGAAAUUAAGAAAAUGUGGGCUCCUGUUUGUAACUAAAUGGACGUGGGGA